AUGAAAAAUGAUAAGUAAAAUAAGAAAUCAAAUUAGAAAAUUUAAGACGAGUAAAAGGAGAUGGAGAGAGUACGUAAUAGGUAUAUUUAUAUAAGAAUGUACAAAAAUUGGUAUAGAAUAAAAAAAACGUUUGUGAAAUCAAGAAGAUAACUAAAUGCUUUGAUUUUUAUUCAUGUUAAUAUGUAUUUGAACCUCUCAAACAUUCACGACUUCUAAAUAUUGCGUCUUUAUUGGAUGUUGGUUAAAGUUUGUAAUCUCCUAACUUCAUUUGGACGCGUGGCUCAAUGUAGACAUGGUGCUGUUGUCAGUUGAGCUGAGGGUCAAUCGAAAAGAUUUUGUAUACAUUAUUCUACUCAUAUUUUACUUCGAUAAAAUUAGAUAUGUUAUUGCUUUUAGUCGGUGCUUAUAUCAAAAAUUAUCUCUCCGUUUUUUUUAAAUUAGAAUAAAUUUGCGUACGCAUCAUUUUACUUAAAUCUCACUUAAGAAAUAACAUUGGGAAUGUUAUUAUUAUUGUUGUGCAUGUGAGUAUUUUUCUUGUAGCUCAUAAAAUUGAUGAUUGUUGUGCAUGCGAGACUUUUUUUUAAUCUCUCAUGUGAAUGGAAAAUGAAGAGAAAAAUGGUGGAGGGGAGGAGACACCGAUUUGGAAAGUGUACUCCCAAAAUUGAAAAGGUCACUAAGUCUCCCACAUUGGUGGGAGAAGGGAACUUUGGAGUGUUUAUAAUAAUGAACACUUACUCCACAUGAUAAGUGAGGCAAGAAAAUAGAGAUGUCUCGCCCCGUCGCUCGCUCGCUCGCUGGGUUCGUCUUCGAAAUUGGAUUGAUCGAUGAGAUCUAUCUUUUUGGACAAACUUUAUUUGAAUUCCGAAAAAUACCAAAGGGAAAGCGCAAACGCAGUAAAAUUAUUUUUCUUUUUCUAUAGUGUUUCGAACCUCUAUUUAUACAUACAUGCAGAAUUUUCGAACUGAUGCAAUACUUCAUCGAACUGGUGCCACUGUUUCUGAACUGGUGCCACUGUUUCGUGAACUGGUACACUGUUUCGUGAACUGGUAUGCUUGUUCGGGAAAAGACAUGUUCUUUGGAUGAACGGACAUGAAUUUUCAGAAAACACACACCAUUUAAUUGAACCAAUGCCACCUUUUCAAAGAGGCAUGUUAUGACUAUAUAAACCUGUUUUCAUUCACAGGUUUAGAUACGAAAUUUAUAGAAUAAAAAAAUAUUCUUCCUGUCUUUAAAAUUACUCCAUGUGAUCAAUCGUUCUGUGCGUUCGAAGAUAUUUCAGUUGUUUGAGGUACCGCUACAAUUGAUCUGUUUGACCAUUUUAUACCGCUACAAUUGAUCUGUUUGACCAUUUUAUCCUGGGAGGAAAAAUUUCACAACCUCGGGUACAGUGAGUGAAAUUAUUUCCUUAAGAAAACUUCGUAAAUUCGGACGACUUGGUCAUUUCUGUUUCAUCUUGAUUUCUGAAAAUAAAAUACACUUCUAAGAAAGAUCACUUUGAUCUUGUGUUGACGGUAUUUUUUGUACUUCAUUGAGUUCUUAUUUUAAACUUGAACUAGUUGAAGUUGUUGUUCUGCAUAUACAGAUUUUGUGUACUCGUAUAAGGAAAUAACAAUCUUAAGGAAAUAAUUUUUAGAAUAUGUAUAGCUAGUUUUUGGAGAUUAAAGUUUUAACUUUCUACUCCGCCUGAACUUAACUAGUGAUUUGAAGUCAUAAAAACUUCAUCAUGAGUUAAAGAUCAUUCGAUUGACAAUUGGAAGUCAUAAAAACUUUAUUGUCAACUGGAAACAAGAAGAAAAGUUUAAAGUUGCUUAACUUUAUAAGUAGUAUUCUGAAAAUACUAAUUAUUAUUGUCUUAUGAUGACAGAAAAAAUGACUAACGAAAGUCAAAUGCAACAUGCGGCUACGAAUGUGGGGGCAACUAGAAUUGCUUCAAAAAGUCGAGCAAAUGCUCUGCAACCAAUGACACCUGCGGAGAAGCUCGAAAAAUUUGCGGGCAUUGACUUUAAACGAUGGCAGUAAAAUAUGCUUUUUUACCUCACCACUCUAUGCCUUCAAAGGUUCACUAGUGAGGAUGCUCUUGAGGUGCCCGAGGGAACCUCGGACAAAGAGCAUUCAUGAUUGUAGAAGCUUGAAAACACUUGGACUUCCUUUACAGAAAUUAUAUAUUUAGUGGUCUCCAAGACGACCUCUACAAUGUUUACAGUGGAACUAAGAUAUCAAAGAAAUUGUGGAAGGCACUAGAACGAAAAUACUAGACAAAGGAUACGGAAAUUAAGAAUUCUUUGUUGCAAGGUUCUUGGACUAUAAAAUGAUAGAUAGCAAAGCGGUUGUCCCUUAAGUGCAGGAAUUGCAAGUAAUCAUCUACGAUCUUCUAGCGGAAGGUUUGAUUGUAAAUGAUGCUUUUCAAGUAGCAGCGUUAAUUGAGAAGCUACCACCGAUGUGGAAAGACUUCAAAAACUACUUGAAGCAUAAACGCAAGGAGAUGACUGUCGAAGAUCUUAUUGUCCGACUGCGUAUUGAAGAGGAUAAUAAAGCUGUCGAGAGAAGGUUAAAAGGAAAUUCUGAAAUUAAUGGAGCACAUAUUGUGGAAGAUAACUAAAACAAUUCUAAGAAAAGGAAGAAAGUUGAACAAGGAAACAAUCAACCCAAGAAGAAAUUCAUGGGAAAAUGCUUCAAUUGUGGCAAGAUUGGCCACAAGUCCACGAUUGUCGAGCCCCGAAGAGAGGCAAGAAAAAGGAUCAAGCAAAUAUGAUUGACUCCAACAAAGGAUGCAAUGAUCUUUGUGCUAUGUUUUUAGAAUAAAACUUGGUGGGAAAUCCUCGCGAAUGGUGGAUGGAUUUUGGUGCCACACACCAUGUAUGUGCCAACAAAGAGUUGUUUUCAUCAUUCGCUCGGACAAAAGUAAAAGAAAUGAUCUACAUGAAUAAUUCCACUACUUCUAAGGUAGAAGGGGUAUGAAAAAUAUGCUUGAAAAUGACUUUAGGAAAGGUCUUGACACUUAACAAUGUCUUGUAUGUUCCAUAGUUACGUAGAAAUUUAAUUUCUGUUUCACUUCUAGACAAGAACGGAUUCAAAUGUGUAACCAUUUCUGGAAAAAUUAUAAUUAGCAAAGGAGAAAUGUAUGUAGGAAAAGGCUAUUUGAUGGAAGGCCUUUAUAAGAUGAAUGUAAUGACUGUUGAAAUAAAUAAAUGUUCAAAUUCUUCUUAUUUGCUUGAGUCUUAUGAUUUAUGGCAUGAACGUUUAGGCCAUGUUAAUUACAAAACGUUACGAAAACUAAUUAACUUAGAAGUUUUGCCAAACUUUGAGUGCAAUAAAACAAAGUGUCAAACGUGUGUGGAAUCAAAGUAUGCAAGGCAUCCUUAUAAAUUCGUUGAAAGGAAUUUCAAUCCCUUAUACUUAAUACAUACUGGCAUUUGUGAUAUGAAGUCAACACCAUCACGUGGUGGGAAAAAGUAUUUCAUAACUUUUAUUGACGAUUGCACAAGAUAUUGUUAUGUCUAUCUGCUAAAUAGUAAGGAUGGAGCAAUAGAUGCGUUUAGACAAUAUAAAACUGAAGUUGAAAAUCAGUUAGAUAAAAAGAUAAAAAUGAUAAGAAGUGAUAGUGGCGAAGAAUAUGAAUCUCCAUUCGCCGAACUAUGUGUAGAAUUGUCACGCCCUUAAACGAUAGUGACGGACAAGAACCGUAUACACCUACUCUACAGACACUUUAUGACGUACACGAGGUGAUGAGAUAACAACGAGCAGGAUAUUCAGUAAGAGUCACAUAUAUACACGAGGGGUUACAUUUACAAAACUAUACAACACUACACGAUGUCCAUGAAAUCUCUAGUCAGUUUAACACGCUAAACUACAAGUGACUAGUUGGCAUCAGGCCCGUCAUCCCCAACCAGAGACCUGUACAUAUAAUCAAAAUACUUGGCAUAGACUGGCUCUAGAGAGAGUUGGAGCUCACCAAAAUAUUCGUUGAAAACAACAAUGGAGCCUAAAGUGGACGUCUGCUAUCCUGAGGGUUUAAGCCUACAUUAGCAAAAUAUAGUGGGCCUGAGACGUCAGUACAUAAACAACAUGUACUGGUACGAAAGCAGACAGAAUGACAGCUGGACAAAUACAGAAGCUCGUAUGAGUCAAAUGGUAAAGUGAAAAACGUUUGAGCUAAUAAUUAACACCUAUACGAUAUGAAUUUAUAACUUAUGCACCAACCUUGUUAACAUCAUAUAUAAUAUUUAGAAAAGCAUUCAUCAUAACCUAGGACCUAAAUUUUGCCUAGGUGAUGCACUUAUCCUAAAAGUCGUACAAAUAAUAACAAGUGGCCUUCUGAAGGCAAUCUGAGGCAAGUAUAAAGCAUAUGUUGCUCAUAUGCUCACUGCUAUGAUCCCAUUUGUGUAACUGUAAUCGCAGUCUGUAUCCAGGUACGCCCUGCCCAGGGGCUCACUAUAAGGGUCUGCCCGCAGGUCAUAUAUGUCUUAUAUUGGCUCAAGUCAGGAGAAACCUGUACAUGACGUUUCAACUAACUUCAAAUACAAAUGAUGCCACAAAGGCAGGUACGCCCAGUGGUUGGGCUUGCAAUAGUGGUCUGGUCUCGAUCCUGUGCACAGAAUCACAUAGAGCGGUAUGCCCAGCAAAAUCUAUGUACCCUCCCAUCAUUAAUGUUUAUCAAAUAAUGCCUUGAAGUCCUAUGACAUAUGAGUUACGAUAAUGAUUAUUUAGCUACCAUAUACAAGUGAAACUAUAUUGUUACCAUUUACUCUUAAUGUGUAAGGGCUUUAAAUAUAGAAACUUAUGAUAAUAUAGAAGUGUCAUGGAAACUUAACACAAAGAGGGAAAGGUAGAUACUUGUAAGCUUGAUGGUAGAGCGAAGGAAUGAUAGGUAAGGCAAUAUAAAGAUUCUACUUCCGUAUUUCAUGAGAAUUAUCCUAACAUUAAUAGGAAGAAGUACAUGAUGUAGGGUGGUGUCUUAGCAGCGGGGGAGGGUUUAGCUUGACAUACCUUAGUACUUUAGUAACUAUGCUAGUAAUUCGAGCCCUAAUUAGUUUAACCCGCGGGAGUAUAGCCUUUAUCUUUCCAAUCACCAACUUCCUUUAUCCAAUAGCCAAUUCACUAGCUACAAGGAUAACAUACAGGUCCAUUAGUAACCCGUAGGAACAUUUAACAAUUCAUUUCAACAUUUUUCGCUCACGCCCGAAGUUAAUCGAAUCUAUUAAUAAGCAUUCGGAAUGAAUCCUUUAACUUGUCAACUCACACAAUUCGAUAUUAAAGAACCCCAAUCACUUAUUUAUAGUCAAUAUUCAAAAAGUAAUAGAGAAUUUACCUCUUGAAAUACAACCUCUUGAAAUUCUGUAACUUAUAUACUUUGUAAGGACUAAGAAAUUUUUCACCGCUUACAAUCUCUUCUUGACAACUUAACUAAAUUUUCCUUGUUGAUAAGAAAAAAAAGAAAGAAGCAAGAAAGAUGGAAAGGAACAGAGGACCAACGAAAUGACAUAGCACCACCUAAUAGUUGUUAUUCCCUGAAAUUCACUUCCAGUGAAAUGAAAAGUCCCCCCCUAAUUUAUGCAUAUACCACUAUUUUAUUAUUAUUAAUAGGGAAAUAAUACAAUGGGCCCCCAACUUUCUAGUAUUAGCACUUGGUGCAAUUAAGGAAGCAUAACUUAAUUUUUCUUACCAUCUUGGCACAAUAAUACAAUACACAAAAUACAAUUCCUUGCCAAAAGUGCUAAAUUAAUUUUUUUUUUUAGGUGCUACAAAAAUGGAAUCGUCCAUCAAACUACGGCCACGUAUUCACCUAAAUCUAAUGAAAUUGCGGAACGAAAAAAUCGAACUUUGAAGGAAAUGAUGAAUGCCUUAUUUAUAAGUUCUGGUUUACCGCAAAACUUAUGGGGAGAGGCUAUCCUUACAGCCAAUCGUCUACUCAACAGAGUUCCCCAUAGUAAAACGCAAUCCAUUCCUUGUGAAAAAUGGAAAGGAAGGAAACCCAACUUAAAAUAUUUUAAAGUGUGGGGGUGUCUAGCAAAGGUCCAAGUUCCUAUGCCCAAAAGGGUUAAGAUAGGACCUAAGACAGUAGACUACGUGUUUAUAGGAUAUGCUAAAAGCAGUAAAGCAUGUCGAUUUUUGGUUCAUAAAUCCGAACAUCCGAAUAUAAAUGAAAAUACGGUAAUUGAAUCAGACAAUGCUAAAUUCUUUGAAAAUGUUUGCCCAUAUAAAAUUAGACAUGAACAAUCUAGUGGAGGAUUUAAACGACCUCGAGAUGAACCAAGUGAGAAUGUACAUAAUGAAGAAAAUCCAAGACGUAGUACGGGUCAAAGAACGUCUACUUCAUUUGGAUCGGAUUUUGUAACAUUUCUCUUAGAAAAUGAGCCUCAAAUAUUUAAGGAAGCGAUGACAUCUUCGGAUUCAUCCUCUUGGAAAGAGGCAGUCAAUAGUGAAAUUGAUUCAAUCUUAAGCAACCAUACGUGGGAAUUGGUUGAUCUUCCUCCUGGAAAUAAACCUUUAGGUUCUAAAUGGAUCUUCAAACAGAAGAUGAAAGCGGAUGGUACUAUUGACAAAUACAAGACAAGACUUGUAGUAAAAGGCUUUAAACAAAAAGAAGGUCUUGAUUACUUCGAUACAUACUCACCAGUAACAAGGAUAACAUCGAUUCGAAUGUUAAUUGCCUUGGCUGCGGUAUAUGAUCUUGAAAUCCAUCAAAUGGAUGUGAAAACCGCUUUUCUAAAUGGAGAAUUGGAGGAAGAAAUUUGCAUGGAACAACUUGAGGGUUUUGUGGUUCUAGGGAAGGAGAAUAAGAUGUGUAGACUUAUUAAGUCAUUGUAUGGACUAAAGCAAGCACCUAAACAAUGGCAUGCGAAGUUUGAUCAAACCAUAUUGGCAAACGGGUUCAAGAUAAAUGAAUGUGAUAAAUAUGUUUACAUUAAAGAUACUCUGAAUCACCAAGUCAUUGUUUGUUUAUAUGUGGAUGAUAUGUUGAUCUUCAGCAGAGAUAUUCCUGACUUAAAUGUAACCAAACGAAUGCUCGAGAGCAAGUUUGAUAUGAAAGACCUUGGAGUUGCAGAUGUGAUCUUAGGUAUAAGAAUCCAUCGAAAUCCACAAGGGUUAGCAUUGUCACAGUUUCAUUAUAUCGAAAAAGUACUUGACAAGCUCAAGUAUAUGGAAUUCGGUAUUGCCAAGACUCCAUUGGAUGUGAACAUUGUACUUCGAAAGAAUGAAGGUGAAAGUGACUUGCAAUUGGAGUACGCAAGAGUAUUGAGAUGUUUAAUGUAUAUAAUGAACUGUACACGACCAGACAUAGCAUGUACUAUUAGUAAAUUGAGUCGGUACACGAGUAAUCCCAACAAAACUCAUUGGAUGGCAAUAAAAACAGUUUUGGGGUAUCUUAAAUACACUCAAGAUUAUGCUUUGCAUUACAAUAAAUAUCCUGCGGUACUUGAAGAGUAUAGUGAUGCAAAUUGAAUCACCGGAUCGAACGAAGUAAAAUCCACAAGUGGAUAUGUCUUUACUAUCGGUGGAUGAGCAGUCUCUUGGAAAUCAUCCAAACAGAUUUGUAUUGCUCGCUCUACAAUGAAAUCUGAAUUUAUCGCAUUGGAUAAAGCCAGUGAAAAAGCAGAAUGACUCUGAAAUUUCUUAUAAGAUAUUACUUAUUGGCCCAAGCCAGUGGCACCAGUAUGUAUACACUGUGAUAGCCAAGCGGCAAUAGGUAGGGCAGUGAGCAUGAUGUAGAACGGUAAAUCUCGUCACAUAGACGGAGACAUAAUACCGUUAGGGAACUUCUCUCUAGUGAAAUUAUCACUGUUGACUAUGUAAAGUCAAAGGAUAAUGUGUCAGAUCCACUUACAAAAGGCCUAUCUAGAGAAGGAGUGGAAAGAACAUCCAAAGGAAUAAGUUUAAGGCCUAGGACAAAUCAGCAUGGCGGUAACUCUAACUAGCAGACUGGAGAUCCCAAGAGCUAGGUUCAAGGAUAUCACACAAAGUUGUGUCUAACAGGUUCAACAUUGUCAAUUACCCAACUCAUUCUCAUGAUGUAGACAAUGUAUAGUAAUCAAGGAUAAGACUUAAAGUGAAAAGUCUUUUAAUGAUUAUCUAAAUUUGGCAGAUUUGACCAAAUAGUUUAAUCUAUAGGAUUGAACGUUUAGAAAUCACUUAUGUGAGGGCGAAGUGGAAGCCGCUUCAAGGAGAAUGUUAGUAAAUGUCUAUUCUCUAAGCUCUCAUUAAAUCGGGCCGUGUUCAUGUCUGAAAAGAACAAAACCGUGAGAACCAUAAACGUUAAAAGGAUGGUUGUGUGACAUAUAUUGUCUAGGUGUACAUUAAAUCUCUACGGUUCAAAGAUAUCAAAUCUACCGAUUGACCGAGUGCAUCCGAUGCAUGUCCACUACGAAAAGUUCAAAGGAAAACCCACUUAUCCAGAUGCAAUCGGUCUUUGCUUGAUGAUCACAUACUUGUUCGUAAAACUUUUAUGAAAAAUAGCCAUUCUCCAUUCAUGUGGGGGAUUGUUGAGUUCAAAGUGUGAAUGAAAAAUGGAGAGAAAAAUGGUGGAGAGAAGGAGACAUCGAUUUGGAAAGUGUACUCCCAAAAUUGGAAAGUUCACUAAGUCUCCCACAUUUGUGGGAGAAGGAAACUUUGGAGUGUUUAUAAUAAUGAACACUUACUCCACAUGAUAAGUGAGGCAAGAAAAAAGAGAUGCCUCGCGAUAUCGUCGUCGUUGUCGUCGCUCGCUCGGUUCGGCUUCGAAUUUAGAUUUGGAUUUAGAAAAUGAUAUAUCCAUGAGAUCUAUCUUUUUGGACAAACUUUAUUUGAAUUAAGGAAAAUACCAAAGGGAAAGCGCAAACGCAGUAAAAAAAUAAUCUUUUUCCUGUAGUGUUUCGAACCUCCAUUUAUACAUGCAUGCAAAAUUUUUGAACUAAUGCAAUACUUCAUCGAACUGGUGCCACUGUUUCGUGAACUGGUGCCACUGUUUCGUGAACUAAUACACUAUUUCGUGAACUGGUACACUGUUUCGUGAACUGGGAUGCUUGAUCAGGAAAAGACAUGUUCUUUGGAUGAACGAACAUGAAUUUUCAGAAAAGACACACCAUUUAAUUGAACUAAUGCCACCUUUUCAAAGAGGCAUGUUGUGGUUAUAUAAACCUGCAUUCAUUCACAGGUUUAGAUACGAAAUUUACAGAAUAAAAAAAAUUCUUCCUCUCUUCAAAAUUACUCUGUGUGAUCAAUCAAAAUAUUCUGUGCAUUCGAAGAUAUUCCAGUUGUUUGAGGUACCGCUGCAAUUGGUCUGUUUGGCCAUUUUAUCCUGGGAGGAAAAAUUUCACAACCUCGGGUACAGUAAGGAAAAUUAUUUCCUUAAGGAAACUUCGUGAAUUCGGAUGACUUGGCCAUUUCUGUUUCAUCUUGAUUUCUGAAAAUAAAAUACACUUCUAAGAAAGAUCACUCACUACUAAAAAAAUCGGUAAAACCGACCAUAAUUUGAGGUCGGAAAAAACCGACCACACGUGGUCGGAAAAAACUGACCACACGUGGUUGGUUUUAUAUUUUAAAAAAUCAAAAUAAUUAUUACAAUAAUUUUAAUAAUUAUAAUUAUUUAUUUAAC
rnacentral:lncRNA from 1 species